GUUGGCUGGUUUGGUUGGAGACAGGGCCUCCAUAUGCAGCUGUGGAACAUACUAUGUAACCAAGCUGGGCUUCAAACUCACAGAGAUCUGCUUGCCCCUAUCUCCCAAGCAAUGGAAUUAGAGAAUUAAUUCCACAAGAAGAGGGCAGUGGUGUGAAAGAACAAGAAGUGAAGAAGUUCAUGAGAUUUUUGAGUGGCCUGGAAAGUAUUGGUGGUGAGGAAGCAAGCACAUCAACUGGAGCAUUAGUGGAUGUUAAGGGAUUUUUUAUGGAGUAUUGUGAGGAGCGGGUGUGGCAGCAGUCCCAAGAUGGCAC